UACAGAGGGGGCAAGCGUUAUUCGGCAUUAUUGGGCGUAAAGGGCGCGUAGGCGGCUUGGCAAGUGGAUGGUGAAAUCCCUCGGCUUAACCGGGGAACUGCCGUCCAAACUGCUUCGCUUGAGACCGGGAGAGGUGAGUGGAAUUCCCAGUGUAGCGGUGAAAUGCGUAGAUAUUGGGAGGAACACCAGUGGCGAAGGCGGCUCACUGGACCGGUACUGACGCUGAAGCGCGAAAGCGUGGGGAGCAAACGGG
rnacentral:rRNA from 1 species